UCGAGAAUCUUCCGCAAUGGGCGAAAGCCUGACGGAGCGACGCCGCGUGUAGGAUGAAGGCCCUCGGGUUGUAAACUACUGUCACGGGUUAUGAAUGUGCAUAUGUUAACAGCGUGUGUAUUGACGUAAGCCCGAAAGGAAGCACCGGCUAACUCUGUGCCAGCAGCCGCGGUAAUACAGAGGUGGCAAGCGUUGUUCGGAAUUACUGGGCGUAAAGGGCGCGUAGGCGGCCUCCUAAGUCGGACGUGAAAGCCCCAGGCUUAACCUGGGAACUGCGUCUGAUACUGGGAGGCUUGGAUUCGGGAGAGGGAUGUGGAAUUCCAGGUGUAGCGGUGAAAUGCGUAGAUAUCUGGAGGAACACCGGUGGCGAAGGCGGCAUCCUGGACCGAGAUCGACGCUGAGGCGCGAAAGCUAGGGGAGCAAACGGGAUUAGAUACCCAGGUAGUCCCUGAGCGGGCUGGCAAGGCGCAU
rnacentral:rRNA from 1 species